rnacentral:rRNA from 1 species
UACGUAGGGUGCAAGCGUUAAUCGGAAUUACUGGGCGUAAAGCGUGCGCAGGCGGUUGUGCAAGACAGAUGUGAAAUCCCCGGGCUUAACCUGGGAACUGCAUUUGUGACUGCACGGCUAGAGUGUGUCAGAGGGGGGUAGAAUUCCACGUGUGAGCAGUGAAAUGCGUAGAGAUGUGGAGGAAUACCGAUGGCGAAGGCAGCCCCCUGGGUCAAGAUUGACGCCUUGCAGUGAC